GCGGCAGAAAAACUAAACCCAGGACUCGUAAUAACACGCCGUUCCUUCUCAGCCUCAAUAUCCUUAACUCUUUGCUCCCAAAUAACCUCCGGCUCUAUCUCGUCCUCCAUCACCGCCCCAAUCCUCUCCUCAUAUUCCACACUACCACUCCCAUUCGAUUUCUCAAACAACGAAAUCCCAGAAGAAGAAAAGCUCCCAUUUUUAUUCCCUUUACUACUUUUCAAAAGCCUCGACGCAAUACCCAAAAAAAGCUCACCAGUAGCCACGGCAAAAGAUUUUUUCCCCGGCGGCGAGGGUUGCGGCGGGGGGGGGGAAGUGAUUUUGUUGUUAUCAGAAGAAGAGGAGCAUCUAAUGGAGAGAUUGAGAGAUUGGGGGCGCAGGGGAAGGAGAGAAUAGCGGUGGGCGAGAUAUGGGUUGGGAUUAAGAGAAGAGAAAGGGGAUUGAGUGUGAGGGAGAAGGAGAGAGGAGAGGGAAGGAGCCAUGGAAAAGGAAGAAGAAGGAGA
rnacentral:misc_RNA from 1 species